CAGUUAGCCAGUCGAGUCGCUCGCUCUCUCGCCGGCUAUUCUGAAAAUAAACGCGUUCGAGAUCUCGCGGGCUCCUCGGCCCGCCAGUGUCGGUCGUAUCGUCGCGCGCGACGCUUCGGGUUUCAACGGACCGCUCGGCCAACGAACGGGAAACUUUUCUGUACGCUUUGCACACGAGAGGUGACUCUCAGUCAUCGUUUCGUUCGAUAUAUAGUGGGGCCUCGAGCUGCGUUCUCCUGAGUUACGUCGUCUCUACACGCGAGAAAAACUUUCGAGUGCAAAGGGUUAACACUUUAUCCACCGCUGGUGAUCGAGACAACUACAUGCUAGUUGACAAUAUUGUUCUCGACAAGUCGUAGGGGUGUGUCUUCACUUGCAAAACUCUGCAACUUUAAAAUCAAGCGUAGGAUCACCGAGGUCGCUAGAAUCAAAGGGUUCUUGUAGAAAACUGUGAGUGC